GAUGAACGCUGGCGGCGUGCCUAAUACAUGCAAGUCGAGCGAACGGACGAGAAGCUUGCUUCUCUGAUGUUAGCGGCGGACGGGUGAGUAACACGUGGAUAACCUACCUAUAAGACUGGGAUAACUUCGGGAAACCGGAGCUAAUACCGGAUAAUAUUUUGAACCGCAUGGUUCAAAAGUGAAAGACGGUCUUGCUGUCACUUAUAGAUGGAUCCGCGCUGCAUUAGCUAGUUGGUAAGGUAACGGCUUACCAAGGCAACGAGGCAUAGCCGACCUGAGGGGGGGGAGGGCACACGAGGAAGGGACCAACCACCCAGACUCCUAGGGGCGGCAGAGGUGGGGACUUUUCGGAAAAGGGGGAAAGCCUGCGGAAGCAGCGGCGGGGUGGUGAAGAAGGUCCUCGGGCCGUAAAACUCUGUUAUUGGGGAAAACCAUUUUUUAAAGUAACGUGGCCAGUUUGGACGUAACUUAUAAAGAAAGCCCGGGCAAACACGGU
rnacentral:rRNA from 1 species